AUACGUAGGUGACAAGCGUUAUCCGGAUUUACUGGGCGUAAAGGGCGUGUAGGCGGUCUUGCAAGUCAGAAGUGAAAUUCCUGAGCUCAACUCGGGCGCUGCUUCUGAAACUGCAGGACUUGAGUGCUGGAGGGGAUAGCGGAAUUCCUAGUGGAGCGGUAAAAUGCGCAGAUAUUAGGAAGAACACCGGUGGCGGAGGCGGCUAUCUGGACAGUAACUGACGCUGAGGCGCGAAAGCGUGGGGAGCAAACGGGAUUAGAUACCCUGGUAGUCCACGCUGUAAACGAUGAAUACUAGGUGUAGGGGGUAUCGACUCCCUCUGUGCCGCAGUUAACACAAUAAGUAUUCCGCCUGGGGAGUACGGCCGCAAGGUUGAAACUCAAAGGAAUUGACGGGG
rnacentral:rRNA from 1 species